rnacentral:rRNA from 1 species
UACGUAGGCAGCAAGCGUUGUUCGGAGUUACUGGGCGUAAAGAGCGUGUAGGCGGCCAAACAGGUCAGCUGUGAAAACUCGAGGCUCAACCUCGAGACGUCGGUUGAAACCGUUUGGCUAGAGUACGAAAGAGGAUCGCGGAAUUCCCGGUGUAGAGGUGAAAUUCGUAGAUAUCGGGAGGAACACCGGUGGCGAAGGCGGCGAUCUGGGGUCGAUACUGACGCUGAGGUGCGAAAGCGUGGGGAGCAAACAGGG